GCCGUUUUGUCAACGGCAGUCUCAAUAGAGUGCCCGGCCGAACCGCUGGCAACUAUUGAUAAGGGUUGCGCUCGUUGCGGGACUUAACCCAACAUCUCACGGCACGAGCUGACGACAGCCGUGCAGCACCUGCACAGGCUCCCUUGCGGGUCCCUUGGCUUUCACGGUUCUACUACCUACAUGUCAAGGCCAGGUAAGGUUCUUCGCGUUGCAUCGAAUUAAGCCACAUACUCCACCGCUUGUGCAGGCCCCCGUCAAUUUCUUUGAGUUUUAAUCUUGCGACCGUACUUCCCAGGCGGCUUGCUUAACGCGUUAGCUCCGCCACAAGAGGGGUCGAUUCCUCUUACAGCAAGCAAGCACCGUUUAGGGCUAGGACUAC
rnacentral:misc_RNA from 1 species